CUUCAGCCUAAAAAAAUUGUAUUAUAGAACCUCCAGAAAAUACAAAUAGAAUAAAAUAACCAAAAUAAAAUGUUCUACGCUACAAAAUUUGAUCCAUUUUAUGUUGGAGCUUGUCCCCCUGGACCCAUGAUAUUUCGACCAUUUCGAUCGGGCUGUUGGCCCCACGGUCGUCUUGUUCCUGCAUGUAGUUCUCGUUGUAGUCCCUGUGGUUCUUGUUGUGCUCCCUGCGGGCCUUACGGAGGCGGUUGUUGCAGUACUUCGCCCUGUGGGUGGUAAGCUAUUGACGAAUACUAUGGAGAGCCUUGAUUCUCCGAUCUGAGGGUUCGCCAUGGUGCGAUUAAUCUGAUUUUUAAUAUUGACACUCGCCAAAAUCAUGGUUGAAGAUAAAUGUGAAUACAAAUUUUUUUCUUUAUAAAUUUUUAAUAAAUUCAAGAUGUGCAAAUUGUGGAAAAAAUA